rnacentral:rRNA from 1 species
CAGCACCUCAAGUGGUCAGGAUGAUUAUUGGGCCUAAAGCAUCCGUAGCCGGCGCUGUAAGUUUUCGGUUAAAUCUGUACGCUCAACGUACAGGCUGCCGGGAAUACUGCAGCGCUAGGGAGUGGGAGAGGUAGACGGUACUCGGUAGGAAGGGGUAAAAUCCUUUGAUCUAUUGAUGACCACCUGUGGCGAAGGCGGUCUACCAGAACACGUCCGACGGUGAGGGACGAAGGCCAGGGGAGCGAACCGGAUUAGAGACCCGCGUAGUCC